rfam:Gossypium raimondii Chr11_contig_1264, whole genome shotgun sequence.
GCGUUGGAGCAUGUGGUUUAAUUCAAUACAAAGCAAAGAACCUUACUAGAGCUUGACAUGCCGCGAAUCCUCUUGAAAGAGAGGGGUGCUCCCUUGGGAACGCAGACAUAGGUGAUGCAUGAUGGUCUCCAGCUCAUGCUGUAAGUUGUUGGGUUAAGUCACGGAACGAGUGCAACCUCGUAUAUAAUUGCCCCUGUUGAAUUCAAAACCCUAAAUAGACUGUCGAUGAUAAGCCGAAAGAAGGUGUGGAUGACAUCAAAUCAUCAUGCCCCUUAUGCCCUGAGUGACACACGUGCUACAAUGGACGUAACAAAACGUCGUAAUCCCGUGAGGAUGAGCUAGCUAACUCCAAAAGGUUGAGAGAUUAACGGCCAAAUUUAACUUUUUGUAAAAAUUUAAGAGC